CCUAACUCACCAACGUUUUCCACCUCAGACCGGCCUAUCCGGUGGUACCUAUUGUGACGUCAUUACUGGCAACCUGGAGAACGGCAAGUGUACUGGUGGGUCAGUGACGGUCGGUGGAGACGGAAAGGCCAGAAUCCACAUCAGUCACAGCAGCCGCGACCCCAUGCUCGCCCUACACGUUGGUGCCAAAGUGGGAUCAACCGAGAAAAGACACUGAGGACACAUUGAAGGGAAAUCGUUUUUUGUCCUCAUUUUACAUCAGAUUCCUUCUUUGUAUGACACAUUUGUGUCUCAUGUCUGAUAAGUAGUUGAGAUUUAUUGUUCUUUGAUUCUCUGACUUCAAAUUGGACUGUGUAAAAUAAAUUGUUCAUUAUAAGAA